rnacentral:lncRNA from 1 species
GGGGAGGAGCGUGGGGCGGGGCCCGGGGCCGAGUCUGAGGCCGAGUGUCAGUCUGAGGCCAGGGCUGGGGCUCCGAGUUUAAUUUGAGAUUUUGGAAUCAAGAGCCCUGAAUAUCCUUAAUCCCACAGUCUGCACAGCUGAGCUGACGGGACGGGCCUGGCUUUCCCACAGCACGGUUAACACACAAACCUGUACACGGGCAGUGCACUGACGAGCAGUUUGCCCCUCAGUAUGAGCUGCGAACUAACAGCCAGGCUAACGUGAUAAUGCAGGAAACAGCUCUUCAUUCCUGGGAACAGUUUUUUAAAGCCAGAGCAUCUCCCCUGGUUAUGGUAAACCCUAUUAGAAGAUUGAAUUAGUGCAACCUGCUUGUAUUAAACAUGUGAAUGUACUGAAGAAGGGGGAGCUAAUUACAGGAGAACAACCCAAAAUAUCAGUGAAAGGAACAGUUCAAAACCACAAGAAAGAAAUCAGUGUUCGUAACUAGUAUUUUCUCCAAGCAUAAAUAUCAGCAGCUGAACAUGUAAAUUUGUGUUUUGCAAUUGUGAAAUUAUAGUGACAAGCAAAUACAGAAAUUAUUUUCUAAAAUAACUAUGGUAGGUUACUCUGUAAACUUGUCAGCUGAGAACAAUAUAUCCCUUUUUUAAGGGAAAAAGAAGGUUUAUUCUAGUAAUGGUCUUCACCUUAAAGAUAAAUUCACCAUAAUCCUGUAGUCCUGAACAUAAUAUUUCUAUUUAAGAAGAAGUGAUAGAUCUGUUACUAGCUUUGCAGUAGCUGAAUAUUUCAGCAGAUGAGAAGCUUUCAAAGCACAUAUUGAAUUUUAGAG